AUUGAACGCUGGCGGAAUGCUUUACACAUGCAAGUCGAACGGCAGCACGGGGGCAACCCUGGUGGCGAGUGGCGAACGGGUGAGUAAUAUAUCGGAACGUGCCCAGUCGUGGGGGAUAACGUAGCGAAAGUUACGCUAAUACCGCAUACGAUCUACGGAUGAAAGCGGGGGAUCGAAAGACCUCGCGCGAUUGGAGCGGCCGAUAUCAGAUUAGGUAGUUGGUGGGGUAAAGGCUCACCAAGCCAACGAUCUGUAGCUGGUCUGAGAGGACGACCAGCCACACUGGGACUGAGACACGGCCCAGACUCCUACGGGGGGCAGCAGUGGGGAAUUUUGGACAAUGGGCGCAAGCCUGAUCCAGCCAUUCCGCGUGCAGGACGAAGGCCUUCGGGUUGUAAACUGCUUUUGUACGGAACGAAAAAGCCUUGGCUAAUACCCAGGGUCCAUGACGGUACCGUAAGAAUAAGCACCGGCAAACUCCGUGCCAGCCGCCGCGGUAA
rnacentral:rRNA from 1 species